CAAAUGGGCAGGCAGAAGGUACUCUUCAGUUAUCCCAGCAUUAUUUAAUGCAGCUGAUCCCUAAAACUCUCCAGUGCCUUUGCAAAGAUUUAAGUGCGGUGGGGGGCGUUCCCUUAGAGACCGUGACAUCACACCCUACCUUCCCAGGGUGAGAAGGCGAGCUCUCACAGAUUGCACCUCUCUACUCAUUUUCCUGGAUUCAGGAUCCACAGACCUGUGUACAACACGUAAAGGGGACAACAAAGCGAGAGGUGCCCGGGUGCUUUUCCUUGCAAACCUGCGAGGAGCCGGUCACUCUUGUCUGACUGCUACAGCAGCUCACAAGAAUUCUCCAGUUGCGUCCCGUGACUUUCCUGCUGACCUCCUGAUUCCCUACUGUGACCUGCAAGACGCACCCUCACCCUACUCCCUACUCCCGUUCUGGCCUGACCCUGACCUCACCUGGAAUCCACCUGCUCGCCCAGCACGGCCUCAUGUCGGCCUUCCCGGCCUUUCAAGCUCUCCUCCAGCUGCGGGGCGAGCUGUCCCCUCUGCCUAGGGUGUCCCCCACCUCUGUCUGCACAGGCGGCUCCUUCACGUCAUCCGUGCUCCUCUUCAAAGGCCACUGCCCACAGAACACUUCCUUCUAGACAGACACUUAUGUAUUGACUUAUCUAAGUUGACGUCUGGUUUUGCUUUCUGUUCGUUGAAUGUAAUACUUUCAGAACAUCUCUCAUUUUACUACACUCUUCUAUUAUAUGUCUCCUCCCACCAGCACAUAGACUCAUACUUUUCUCCCCAUGCUUAGAACACUGUGUUGCAUAAAACAGGCGCGCAUAUAUUUGCUGAAUGAAUGAAUGCAUAAAUAACUAUAAAUAUAAUAAAGUAUAAAAAUAGUUUAUUUGAGGGGAAUCACCUAAG
ensembl:lncRNA